rfam:Aedes aegypti strain Liverpool supercont1.765 genomic scaffold, whole genome shotgun sequence.
UGCCCAUCAACUCCUAUCCCUACCUCCUCGUGGUACUGGCCGGGGUACGAGUAACCUUGGGGAAGAUCGGGUAACCAACCCCUGAGGGAACUUUGGUCGUAUGCUGACAGGGAAGG